AUUGAACGCUGGCGGCAGGCCUAACACAUGCAAGUCGAACGAGAGGCGGACGGGUGAGUAAUGUCUGGGAAACUGCCCGCUGGAGGGGGAUAACUACUGGAAACGGUAGCUAAUACCGCAUACCCUCGGAUGUGCCCACAUGGGAUUAGCUAGUAGUUGGGGUAACGGCUCACCUAGUCGACGAUCCCUAGCUGGUCUGAGAGGAUGACCAGCCACACUGGAACUGAGAAACGGUCCAGAGUCCUACGGGAGGCAGCAGUGGGGAUGAUUGCACAAUGGGCGCAAGCCUGAUGCAGCCAUGCCGCGUGUAUGAAGAAGGCCUUAGGGUUGUAAAGUACUUUCAGCGGGGAGGCGUUACUCGCAGAAGAAGCACCGGCUAACUCCGUGCCAGCAGCCGCGGUAAUUC
rnacentral:rRNA from 1 species